rnacentral:rRNA from 1 species
UCUUUAAAUUUAAAGAAUUUGGCGGUGUUUUAAUCUAAUUAGAGGAACCUGUUUUAUAAGCGAUACGCCACGUAUCAUUCUACUUGUUUUAGUGAAUUCGCUUGUAUACCGUCAUUAGGAGAUAAUUUAAGAGAGAGUAUCAUUUAAAUCAUAUUAUUGAGUAUAUUAGAUCAAGGUGCAGCUUAUGGGCAAGUAAGUAUGGGUUACAAUAAAAUUUAUUUAGUACGAAUUAAAUAUUAAAUAUCUCUAUGAAGGAGGAUUUAAUACUAAGAGAAGAGUAGCGAGAUUUUGUGAUAGGAGCUCUAAAUUGU